rnacentral:tRNA from 1 species
ACUUAAAUAGUUUAAAUUAAAAUAUAAGCUUGUGGCGCUCAAGAUGUAUAAAUUAUACUUUAAGUA